rnacentral:tRNA from 1 species
AUUCUUUUAGUUUAAUUAUAAAAUGUGACUUUGAAGAGGUUAAGAUGAAGGGAAUG